AAACCGGAGGAAGGUGGGGAUGACGUCAAGUCCUCAUGGCCUUUAUGACCAGGGCUACACACGUACUACAAUGGCCGAUACAAAGGGCAGCGACACUGCGAGGUGAAGCCAAUCCCGUAAAAUCGGUCUCAGUCCGGAUUGGAGUCUGCAACUCGACUCCAUGAAGUUGGAAUCGCUAGUAAUCGUGGAUCAGCAUGCCACGGUGAAUACGUUCCCGGGCCUU
rnacentral:rRNA from 1 species